rnacentral:lncRNA from 1 species
AACUAGUCAACUAUGUUCCAUAACGCUACAUUUGAGAAUGCUAAUGACAUUUCAUUUUCGUUCCAAUUAUUUUGAAAAAAUAUUUUCAGAAUGGAAUAUCUACUAUUUUAGAAUGGAAUAUCUAGAAUAUGUCUUUUUUAGUCACCAUUCAUUAAUGAAAAUAAGCUUGUUCCAUCUAGAGAUGAUAUUUUUAUGUAUUAUUUCUUUGAUGACUUCAACUAUCUUGUAUCCUUCUUUCUGAAAUUUCUAAUUUUUUAUUUGUCUUUUAUUAUAGUAAUCUACUUACUAUUUUUAUGCAUUGUUGGAGGCACAAUUUUACUUUCCAUGCUCAUAAGUGAAUUUGUUUUUUCUGUCACAACUACAAAAAUACAAGCAGUGUAUCUUGCUUUUGGAUACCUCUUAGUUGGUAGCAUCAUAUAUAUAUUUAAAAUUCUAUGUUAGAAAACCUCAAAUGCUUAACCAUAUUCAGUUUUCUUUACUUUUCAAGUCAAUGAAGAAUUCUACUUUCUCAUUUCCUUUGGAGAUAAACCAUGUGAUUACAUUUGCAAGUGGGCUAUAUUGACCACCGGUGUGUUUCCCCUUUGUUUUUGAACUGAACAUUUAGUUCUUGAUGAAGAACUUCUCAAUAUUGUCAUUUCCCACCCAGGUGAUGAAAAAUCAUGUAUGUACGGGUGUUGAGCUAUAGGAUGCUGGCAGUUGUAUCAGUAUGGGUACUCUGUGAGCUAAGAGUCAUCUGCAUACCAACUGAACUUUCAAGCAGUACUGUAUCAUACAACUACUACUUCUUCUCCUUCUUCUACUGCCCCACUACUACACUACCACUAGUAUCACGGCAAUAUUAAAUGAUAAUAAUAAGAAUAAUACAUACAUGCAUUUUCAUUUUCUUAAGCCACUGACAUUUUUUGUUUGUUUUAUUUUGUUGCUGUUGUUUGCCUACAAGAGUGGUAUCCAGUUUCUCCUGAAAGAUCCAAAUUCAAUACUGUUUAUGAUCUCCCUGGGGACUUAUAUUUGUUUGCUUAAUUUUAGUUGUGCUCUUCACACUGACUUUUGUAGCCUUUAAAUAAUCUUAUUUUUUGUUUAUGUUUAGUGUAUGUCUUCUCUUUGGUGGCAUUUCCUGAAUGCUUAGUAGGCUUGGGUUUUCUUGGUCAUGAAUUUAAAAGAAAUUAAUAGCCUAUUGUUAGCUAUAUGUUUGAGGUCUGCACUCCUGAGGGACCGGGUUAAUUUUUUCCCUCAUUAUAAGCUCUCUAAAUGUCCAAGUUCAUUUACUUCUUUGAAAAAUUUCAGGUUAAAAAAAAAAAUCAUGCCCCCCCCCUUUUUUAGCUGUAUACAAUUAACUGCUAAUGUUUUGGUACUAGAAUUUGGGAAGCUAUGUUUCUUGGUAUUGUGGAGAAGAUUUCAGUUUAAUCCAGCAUCUCUCAGGUUUACAUGUUCCAGAGAUUAAGUAUCAGGGCUCCUUUGGGUUUGGGAGGAGUAGAUCAGUUGUAUCAAUUAGAGAGGUAUUUAGGAAGAUUAAUUCCUCCACAUACAUAAUUCCAAAUCAUCACAAUCUGUGCAAUUUUUGAUAUCUCUUUUUGGAAUUUCCAUAGAACUGUCUUGUUCCUGAUCAUUAUUGUUUUGUGCACUUUUUAAUAUUUAUCUUCUUUCUAAAACACUGAGCUUCUGCCUGCCAUUUAUUUUUUUUCCUAUUUUCUUCCUCUUGUGAGUAUGCACUUUCUAUUACCAUUAUUUUUCUAUCAUAUUAAUAAUGUUUGAAGAGAGAAUAUGGUAAAUGCACACAGACAUGUAAAUAUGCUUUAAUUCUAAAUUUCUGAAGCAAUCCCUUUAUAUGUAUGUAUAUGUUCAUUGUCUUAUCCUGAAGAAGCCCUUUUUUCAGGUUAAAAGACAAUACUAAUAGGAAAGAUAAUAACUACAAUUUAUUAAAUGCCUAUUAUGUCUGUUCUUUUAAAAAUAUUUUAUGUGCAAUUCAUCAAGUAAUCUUAGUCACCAGGUAGUACUUUGCUACCCUACAUAUCUGAGUUAAGUACCUUAUCUAAGGUUAAGAUUAAAAAGUUAGUAAGUACAACAUAUAUCUAAGUCUGUCCUAUUCCAAUAUUCUUUGCAAUAUGUUGGAUUUAGUGAAAAGAACAUCAGUGGCAAAUAAUGAAGAGAGGAAUAUAUUCAGUAAGAACAGCCUGUUAACCAAAUCAUCAGUUAUUUUACUUAAAAAUUACAUAGACAUAUUGACAUAGGUUGUUAUAUUAGAGUUCAAAUGAACAUUAUUUGCUGGCAAAGAAAAACUGCAGGUUAAAUAUACAAAAGUUUAAUACUAAAGAAUCAAAACAAAGAAUGAAUUGAGUAUUUGCUAAAAAUGUUAACCAGAGAAAAUACUGGAGUGAUAACAAAUUAUUGGUUAAUAUUUUCAUGAAAUAGGGAAGUUUUAAUCUUCUAUAAUAUUUAGAAGGGGAGUCAUCAAGAGAUGAUGGAAAUAAAUAAAUUAGUAUUCUAUAUAGAUAAAAAUCUUACACAUACAACUGUAUACACAUACAUGAAUAUAAAUGUCUCAUUCUCAUAAUAUUCAGAUAUUAUGACAUUAUAAUAUAACCACUGUAGUUUUAUUCUGUGCUUAUCUUAAAUUUCAACAUAUUUUCCAAAGUUGCACAGACAUAAAUUUUGAUAACAUCAAUUUUGUAUUAAAAUAUUUAUUCAGGAGUUCCCGUUGUGGCGCAAUGGUUAACGAAUCCGACUAGGAACCAUGAGGUUGCGGGUUCGGUCCCUGCCCUUGCUCAGUGGGUUAAUGAUCUGGCGUUGCCGUGAGCUGUGGUGUAGGUUGCAGAUGCGGCUCGGAUCCCACGUUGCUGUGGCUCUGGCGUAGGCCAGUAGCUACAGCUCCGAUUAACCCCUAGCCUGGGAACCUCCAUAUGCCGUGGGAGCGGCCCAAGAAAUAGCAAAAAGACAAAAAAAAAAUUAUUCAUAUUUCUUAUGAAGAUAAUGAUGUACUUUUAAAAAAUUCAUCUGAAUUCAUGUGAAGUCAAUGAGGGCUGAUUUGAGGUGAUAUCUCAUUGUACUUUUGAUUUGCAUUUCUCUAAUAAUUAGUGAUGUUGAGCAUCAAAAGAAAAAAUAAAAAAUAAAACAUUCACUUGAAUAGUAAAGAAAACUUUAUUUAUUGAUACCAUGUUAACUAAUUAUUAACCUCUAUUUUUUCCUGUUUGGAUGAUGAUUAAAAAUAGUGCUUACCAUCGAAGACUUUGUUCUUUUUUUGUUGAAAGUGAAGAGAUAGUGUCAUGAAAUUUAAGAAAAAAAGGACAAUUGCACUGAAAGUGAAUCAAACUACUCUAUUGUUUGAUGAAAUGGCACCCUAAUCAUCCAACCAUCUCUUCCUUUGACAUCUAGAAGUCUUCAUUGUAUGCCCAAUGACGAAUGCUUUGUUCAGACUGAACACUUUAAGCUGCUGAAAGUAAGGGCAGCUGCCAUUUUUAUGCUUAUGUGGCCUUACACAAAACCCCUUCUGUUGUUUGCCUGACAGAGGAGCAUAAAUCUCUUCUUUCAGCAGAAAGCCUCUGUUGAGAGUUUAAACUUCAAGUCUCUUUGCCAAACAAUGCCUCAUCCAUGAUCAAAGUAAAGCAGGGGUUUGACAUUCAAGUUCAUGUUUAGCAUCCACAGCCAAUAUUGAAAGGAAAAGG